rnacentral:rRNA from 1 species
CCUACGGGUGGCAGCAGUGAGGAAUAUUGCACAAUGGUGGGAACCCUGAUGCAGCGAAGCCGCGUGAGUGAAGAAGUAUCUCGGUAUGUAAAGCCCUAUCUGCCGGGCAGCAAAUGCCGGUACCUGAUUACGAAGCCGCGGCUCACUACGUGAAAGCAUCCGCGGUAAUACGUAGGGGGCAAGCGUUAUCCGGAUGUACUGGGUGUAAAGGGGGCGUAGACGGCAGCACAAGUCUGGAGUGAAAUGCCGGGGCUUAAACCCGGAACUGCCUUGGAAACUGUGCGGCUAGAGUGCAGGAGAGGUAAGUGGAAUGCCUAGUGUAGCGGUGAAAGGCGUAGAUAUUAGGAGGAACACCAGUGGCGAAGGCGGCAUACUGGACUGUAACUGACGUUGAGGCUCGAAAGCGUGGGGAGCAAACAGGAUUAGAUACCCCUGUAGUC